rnacentral:misc_RNA from 1 species
UGCGCAUCACCUCUUGCUUGUCUAGAUCAGCCCGGACGUUGGCAUGUGUAGCGUAUUUUGUCGAGUUUCGAGAUCAAGAAUCGAUGUCCCUAUGUUGGUUGGUUUUCCGAGAAUCCUUGACCCUUGAUUUGUUACUUUCGCAUCGUUCGGUGCAUUCUGGGGGAUGUUUUGGCUUUUGGUGGCUUACUUGGCCUUUUGGCUGGGUUUGUUGCUAUUGGUCGGGCGGCUUUCGGGAAUGUCGACCGUGGAGGUGCAUGAGUGGUGUUUGGUUUGUUACGUGUGGAUGGCUGUUUGCUUGCGCAACAACGUUCAUGCUGCAUACCUCUUCAGUUUUGCGGCAAGGCUUGGUUUGGCUUGUGCAUAUUGUGGGUUUCCUGUGUUGCAUACCUAGUUGAAGGAAAAGUGUGGGUUUUACGAUUUUCAUUUUCGUCUUGCGUCGUUCUUUCGGCAUGGAAUGAGCAAUGAAGCGAUCUUUAUGAUCCAUCGUGAUGUUGUGUUUGCAACAAUGAUGUGGCCUAUGAAGCAUCGUUUGGUCUCUUGUAUACGGAAGCUCAUUUGGGCUUGGGUCUUUAUAAGAUCUUUGUUAUGCCCUUGUUAAGCGUUCUCGCUUCUCCUAAACGAUUG